AAAUAAUAAUUUUUCUUUUUUUUUUUAAUUUUUACUUAUCUUAAAGAAUGAAGAAAAUGUCAAACAGUUAAAUUAGUAGAUAAAAUCAUCCUAGAAUCCCUUUUUCUCUCACAUGAGCCGUAGAACUUAAUGACUAAUGAACUACCCAUACAUAUAUGAGAGAGAAAAUGACCAAGCGAUGAUUCACUUUCACUAAUAAUUUUCUCAGUAUUAAUGAGUGGCCCCUUGUCCCUGAGGAGGCUGAUCAAUCCAUCACAAUCACCACUGCUUAAAAGUCAUUGGUUUGGAUUGGUGGAUAAGACCAAUACUAUCAUACGGUACAUAACUUUUUCAUCUUCCAGAGGAAUGAUCCUGUAUACCAACAGCACAAAAGAACAGGCAAGAAAGUUGAUAACUGAAAUUUUCUUCCACAAGAAAAUGGUUCAUCUAUCAUAAAUUCCUUGUUUAAUGGGAUCAGAAACACUUACUUGCCAUUAAAGGUAGUGAGUUCUUUUAAGAAUUGAACACCACACAGUAGAGCACAAAAUCUUUACAAGCUACAACACCUUCAUUUCUGACAUUGACUGUUUAAUCCAGAUCUACCUGCACAUGAUAUUUUAUAGCAUGUUCAAUGGCAUGAUAAGCACCCCUACAUCUUGGUCAGCGUACCCAAACUCUUGUCCCAGACGAUGCACGGACACUGAGAGAGACCAAAAUAUGAAAGCAAAUAAAACAUAUUUUGGACUUUUGCUUUUACAGUUUACACUCAAAUUCUGCUUGUCUGAAUUGCUCAUAAAAUAACCAAGAAUCUGUCUUGAGAGGAAAGCUAUACCUACUGAUACAAUACAAUGGUCCGUGCUUCAAAAUGCAAGAAAUGCUCCAAUUUCAGAGAUAUCUUGACUAUCUUGGUUGCAUAUUUUGAGCCUCUUCAUAUAUAGAUUGAAAAAGCACAGUAGGUAUAUACCUCUCACCAAAGCUUGGAAAUAUAA
rnacentral:misc_RNA from 1 species